AGCCUAUGGAUUCAAUGCAUUACAAUGCUUUAUAUAGAACUAGGUUCUCAUAUUUUAGUUACAUCAAGUCCUAGCAUCAACGGCUAUCAAUUUCAUCACAAGACAUUACAAAAGUUGUUAUAACAACCUGACACUGCAGUUUGUCUUCUUGUCUUCAGUUGCUCAGUCUUGUCUUUAACAAGCUGCGAUAUCUUGCUCCUUUAGCUUGAUUACCAUCCAAUCCUGACCUUUGAUGCUUCUAGCCAUCCAAUGACUGAUAUUCAAACAUCAGAUGACUUGCUUAAUUCAAGGGAUUCAUGAGUUCCCGCCAAUGCCUUCAUUGAGGUAUAUUAUCAAACAAUUGUGCAGCAACCUCAGACACAUUUAUUUUAACUCCCCCUCUCAAGCUUAAUCGUCUGCUAAGACAUUGAGCUUGCUUCUUAGAUAUUCGAAACUUCGAUUAGGUAGUGCCUUGGUCAUUAUAUCUACAACUUGGUUCUUGCUUUCCACAUACUUCAAAUCAAACUCUCGGUUGCUGAUUUUAUUCCUCAUUAAGUGAACAUCUAUUUCAAUGUGUUUGGUUCUUCCAUGAAAGACUGGAUUUUCAGCAAGAGCUAUUGCACUCUUGUUGUCACACCAUAUUAUUAGCCUCUUCUCCAACUUGAUGUUCAUCUUUGCAAGUAAGGAUUGUAACCAAGUCAAUUCAGCUACUCCAUUUGACAGUGAUCUAUAUUCUGCUUAUGUGCUUGAGGUUGAUACUACCUUCUACUUCUUUGAACUCCAGGAGACUAGAUUUCCUGCCAAAAACAUGCAAUAACCACCUGUAGACUUUCUGUCAUCUCUAUCAGCUCCCCAAUCAGCAUCUGUAAAGGCUGAGAUUUCCAUUUUGUUUCCAGGUGUGAAGUACAUACCAUAAUUUAGGGUGCCUUGAAGGUAUCUCAAGAUCCUUUUGCAGCCUUGCCAGUGUAUCACUUUCGGUUCUUGCAUGAAUUGACUUAGUUUAUUGACGCUGUAAGCAAUGUCUGGCCGGGUGAUGGUUGCAUACUGCAAAGCUCCAAUGAAACUUCUGUAGAGAGUUUUGUCUUCAAAAAGUUGUCCUCCCUCUUCUUCUUCAGUCUACAAGGUGUACUUCACACUUGAACUUAAUGGGGUUAUGCUUUCUCUGCACCCUUUCAUGUUUGUCUUCUCUAGAAGUUCUUGCCCAUACUUGCUUUGGCAAAUAUGCAUCCCUGCACGGUCCCUUUUUACUUUAAUUCCAAGAAAAUAACUUAAUGAGCCUAGCUCCUUCAACGCGAAACUCUCAUUAAGUUUUUUAAUCAGGUCAUUGACAAGAUCUUGGCUACUACCAGUUAUAAGUAUAUCAUCUACAUACACAAGUACGUAUAUGACUUCUUUAUUAUCCCUCCAAUGAAACAGUGAGGUAUCCGAGACUGAGUUCUUGUAUCCCCAGCUGAGUAGGGCAGCUUUGAGCUUUUCAUACCAAGCCCUUGGAGCUUGUUUCAGUCCAUAGAGUGCUUUCUUUAGUCUACAUACAUAGUUUUCCUUUCCUUUCACUUUGAAUCCUUCUGGUUGCUCCAUGAACACGGUUUCAUUUAGUUCUCCAUUCAAAAAGGCAUUGUUGACAUCUACUUGUUUGAUGUCCCAACCAUAGUUGAUAGCCAAACUCAAGAGUACCUUGAUUGUGGAUGACUUGGCCACUGGACUGAAGGUUUCUGUGUAAUCAACCCCUACUAUUUGGUUAUAGCUUUUGGCCACUAAUCUCGCCUUGUGUCUCGCUACUGUCCCAUCUGGAUUGUGCUUUACUUUGUAGACCCAUUUGUUUCCGAUGACCUUUGUACCCUCUUGAAUUUUCACCAAUUCCCAAGUGUUGUUUCCGAUGACCUUAGAUGACCUUUGUAUUCAUCCAAUAUAGCAUUUCUCCAUUUCACAUUCCUGAUAGCACUUGCUAUAUUUGUUGGUAACUCAUAUGAAUUCCUUUGUGCAAGGUAUAUUUUAGGCUUGUAGAUUCCAUGUUUGGAUCUGGUUACCAUAGGGUGUGUGUUUAAUGGUUCUAAUGGUCGCUUAGGUUCUAUAUUGACUCUCUCCAAUUGUGUUUCUGUGUUUGGUUGAUGUGUUUGGAUCUGGUCUUGGUUUGGUGUUCUGAUUUGAUUUUCGAAUGAUGCUUGCAUUGUAUCUUGUGUAGAGUUAUGUUCACCCUUUUUGGAUGUUUUGUAUGGAUUGCUGUUUGAUUGUGGAGUUGAGAAAGUGCCACAAGGAAGUAAUAGAAGCUGCUGAUAGUUAGAUUGACUACUUGUCCUGCUUUCACUUUUGUUAGUCUCAAAGUUCUUAUCUAUAACAAAAGGAAACUCAUUCUCAUUGAAAAUCACAUGUCUAGCUACAUAAACUCUGCCUGUGCUAUCUAGACAUUUGUAUCCUUUGUGCUGUAAGGUAUACCCUAUAAACACACAUUUAGUGGUAUGGUACUGAAGUUUAUGUUGAUUAUAGGGUCUUAAAUAUGGAAAACAGGCACACCCAAAAGUUUUUAGGAAGGCAUAAUUAGGCUCAUUGUUGUAAAGUUUUUUGUAUGGACUGAUAUGACCUAGGGCCUGCGUAGGCAUUCUAUUGAUAAGAUAUGCAGCAGUUUCAAAGGCGUUCCACCACAGUUUUAAGGGCAUGUUUGCUUAUGCUAGCAUGGUGAGUGUUGUUUCUACAAUGUGCCUAUGCUUCCUUUCAACUUGGCCAUUUUGUAUUGACAUAUAUGGACAGGAAUGUCGGAAUAUGAUUCCAUUGUUCCUAAGAAACUCGGUUAAUGGUCUAAAUUCUCCCCCCAUAUCAGUCUGUAAACACUUGAUCUGUUUAUUUAAUGUUUUCUCGAUUUGAUUCUUGAAGUCAAUGAAGGUUUGUAUUGUUUCUGCUUUGCUGGUUAAGGGGUAAAUCCAUGUGUAUCUUAUGUGAUUAUCAACAAUACUUAAGUAGUACCUGUAACCUUUUCCUGAAAUUAUAGGUGUUGGACCCCAAAGAUCUGCAUGGAUCAAUUCAAGGGGUUGCUUUGUCUGUGUUUGUGAGCUUUUAAAAGUCAAUUUGUGAUUUUUACCAUAUUGGCAUGCAGUGCAGAAACUCAAAGAUUUUUCUUUAUUGAAAGCAGAUAAAUUUUUACAACUUGAAAUGAUUUUCAUAAGGGUCUGUUCACAAGGGUGGCCAAACCUUCUGUGUAACAUGUCAAGUUGAUUAAUUGACCCACUACUGGGCUUAGGACUUAAAGACUCAUCAACACUUUCUAAGACAGAAGCCUCACUUAUUGAAGCAAACAAAGACUCUGAUUUGUAGACUCUAUCAGCAGCACAUCCCUUCCUCAGACUUACAUAUUCUUGACUUCCAACAAUCUGAAACAGCCCUCCUAUAUCAAUUCCUUGAAGAAGAACAUUCUCCAAUUUGUCCUUAACAACAAAAGUUUCAUCAGAAAAUACAAUUGUUAGUUUGUUAUCUGUUGUAAGGCUAGAGAUACUUAAUAGGUUUUUGGUUAUUUGUGGAACUACAAGUACCCUUUUAAGCACAAGAUGUUCAUAUUUGUUACCAGCAUAUAUAGGCAAAUGUAUCGUUCAUGUGUGUGUGAUUUUAAGCUUGUGCCCAUUUCCAAUUAAGAUAAAGGAGUUACCUUUGUACUCAGACCUUACACUGAGGUUGUUGAGGUCAUUCGUAACAUGAUUAGUUGCUCUACUGUCUAAGUACUAGCCUGGUUCAUUGCUUCCUUCAUUUGUUGCCAGAAAGGCUCCUCUUGGCUGAUAGUUCUGAGGCUUUGGUUCAAAGUCAUCUUCUGUUCUGUACCAACACUCAUCAACUGUAUGGCCCUCUUUGUGGCAGAUUUGACAAAAAACUCCAGGCUUGAAUACCGUCUUCUUUGUUCCUCAUGGUCUCCCUCUUCCUUUUCCUUUAUUUGGUCUUCCAGCACCAUUGUUGGGAGGUCUAAAGUAUUGAUUUUGUGGACUAAGGUACUGGUUUGGUGGUUGGUUCCUUGGUCUCUCAUUCCUCUUUUGGGUCCAGUUGUUCCUUCCUUGCCUUGAGGCCAUAUUUGCUUCAAAAUUGUUGUCAUGAGUUGCAUUCUGCUCCAGUCUAGCUUCAUGGUUCAACAACACAGAAUACAUUUCAUCAAAGGUCAAUUCAUGAAGUCUUGACGUGAGGUUAACAACAACGGACUCAAAAGAUUGGCUAAGGCCAGUAAGCACAUGAGAGCAAAGAUCUUCUUCUGAAACCGGCUUUCCUGCCAUUUGCAACUCAUUUGCCAAGUUUCUUACUUUUGUGCAAAACUCAGUGAUAGUUUGUGUGUCUUUUCUUGCACCAUGCAACUGCAUCUUGAGAACUAUGGCAUCUGGCUAUUGAUUGGGAGGCAUAAAGCCUUUCUAGCACAGACCACAGUUCUUGUGAAGUUGUGCAAUGUGUCACAGCAGUGAUAAUAUUCUAUGAUAUUGUAGAAAGAAGCCAACUUAAGAGAAGUUGGUCUUGUCUACGCUAGAGUGCAUAUGCAGGGUUUGCAGAUGCUAUGAAAUUGUUUUCUGCAUCAGCAUCCUCUAAGAACUUUUCUGGACAUACAGAUGUUCCAUCAAUGAAGUUUUCCAGGCCAUUGCCACGGAUAGUAGGCAAGACCUGGGCUUUCCACAUAAUGUAAUUUCCUCUGUCAAGUUUCACAGGGGCUGUGAAGGAAAAACUUAUGGGUACAUGCAUGUUUAUGUGUGAGGAUGAUGAUUCAGUUUGUGUUUGGGUGGGUAAAGGACUUUGUGUUUGAGCUGGUGGUGUAUUGUUGAUCACAGCUUCUGGGGUUGGCUCAUUUGUUGCUUGAUUAUCCAUUUCUCGAUUUUUAAAGCUCUGAUACCAAGAUAAAAAAAGGAGGCUAGUAGUUUUCACACAAUUCACAAGCAAAAAUGAAGAAUCGAUUUUAUUUUUUCUAGCCUAUGGAUUCAAUGCAUUACAAUGCUUUAUAUAGAACUGGUUCUCAUGUUUUAGUUACAUCAAGUCCUAGCAUCAACGGCUAUCAAUUUCAUCACAAGACAUUACAAAAGUUGUUAUAACAACCUGACACUACAGUUUGUCUUCUUGUCUUCAAUUGCUCAGUCUUGUCUUUAACAAGCUGUGAUAUCUUGCUCCUUCAGCUUGAUUACCAUCCAAUCCUGACCUUUGAUGCUUCUAGCCAUCCAACGACUGGAUUCAUGAGUUCCCGCCAAUGCCUUCAUUCAAGGGAUUCAUGAGUUCCCGCCAAUGCCUUCAUUGAGGUAUAUUAUCAAACAAUUGUGCAGCAACCUCAGACACAUUUAUUUUAACUAGAGAUUAUUUCCAUCUAAAACCAAGAAGGAUAACCUCCCCAAGUGGCAAAGAUCAGAAGGAAUGGAUCCUUGCAAAUUAUUACCAAAGAGAAAUAAACCUUGUAGCUGCUGUAAUCUUCCCACUGUUGUUGGUAUAGUUCCAUUCAAGUCAUUGUCUUGUAGUCUUAAAUCUAUCAAGCCAUUUAAAUUACCAAUUUCUUGAGGAAUGCUACCCUUGAGUUCGCAAUCGUAUGCAUAAAAUUGUUGAAGAGAAUCAGAGAAAUUCCCUAUUAGUGGUGGAAGGAUGCCACUUAAUUGAUUAGAGUGUAGUCCUAACACUUUCAGGUAUAUACAAUUAGUCAAAGAAGAGAGAAAACUCCACUCUGUUGUAGAAGACCGGGUCGUCAAGUAAUUGUUCCCUAGAUCGAGGAGGCUGAGGAAUCUCAAGUUGCCAAAAGUGUUUGGAACAAGGCCUGAGAAAGAAUUUUUGCCCAAUUCUAGGAGAGUGAGUUCAGAAGCAUUGGUAAUGGAGUUGGGAAUUGUUCCUAUAAGUUUAUUCAUCCCCAAGGCCAACCACUUCAAGUUUGGAAGGGAGACACUAAGUAUUGAUGGUAGAUGGCCUGUGAGCUGAUUGCCAACCAGAUUAAUGACUGUCAUUGUCGAAAUAUUGAAGAUUGUUGGUGGAAUGGGACACUUAAGUUAUUGAUAUCAAGAAGUAAAUCCUCCAGAUUUUGUAGAUUGCCAAUCUCCAUUGGAAUUUCACCUGAUUGUCAACAUAAGAAGUUAAUGAGCUUUCCAAUUUUCUAGUUUUAUUGAACGUUACGGAAUAAAAAAAAAAUUGAUUGAUGAAUGAAAUCAUGAUCAUGGAGGAGAUUAAUAAUAUUUAAGAAAAAAUGAAGUUAUUUGAAUUUACCAAAAUACUCAAUAAACCGGUGUAUAAAG
rnacentral:lncRNA from 1 species